rnacentral:rRNA from 1 species
UGGGGAAUAUUGCACAAUGGGCGCAAGCCUGAUGCAGCCAUGCCGCGUGUGUGAAGAAGGCCUUCUGGUUGUAAAGCACUUUCAGCGAGGAGGAAGGUGGUGAGCUUAAUACGCUCAUCAAUUGACGUUACUCGCAGAAGAAGCACCGGCUAACUCCGUGCCAGCAGCCGCGGUAAUACGGAGGGUGCAAGCGUUAAUCGGAAUUACUGGGCGUAAAGCGCACGCAGGCGGUUUGUUAAGUCCCCAGAUGUGAAAAUCCCCGGGCUCAACCUGGGAACUGCAUUUGAAACUGGCAAGCUAGAGUCUCGUAGAGGGGGGUAGAAAUUUCCAGGUGUAGCGGUGAAAUGCGUAGAGAUCUGGAGGAAUACCGGUGGCGAAGGCGGCCCCCCUGGACGAAGACUGACGCUCAGGUGCGAAAAGCGUGGGGCAGCAAAACAGGAUUAGAUACCCUGGUAGUCCACGCUGUAAAACGAUGUCGA